UUAUUACAAAAAAAUGCUGUUUAAUUUCACAUGAUAGAGUUAUAUGGUAGAACGGUUUGGAUUGAUAUUAUGGAAUAUAUACCACGCGUAAAAUCUUAAAAUUAAAUAU
rnacentral:sRNA from 1 species